AUACGUAGGGUGCAAGCGUUAAUCGGAAUUACUGGGCGUAAAGCGUGCGCAGGCGGCUUUGUAAGACAGAGGUGAAAUCCCCGGGCUCAACCUGGGAACUGCCUUUGUGACUGCAAGGCUAGGGUACGGCAGAGGGGGAAGGAAUUCCGCGUGUAGCAGUGAAAUGCGUAGAUAUGCGGAGGAACACCGAUGGCGAAGGCAAUCCCCUGGGCCUGUACUGACGCUCAUGCACGAAAGCGUGGGGAGCAAACAGGAUUAGAUACCCUGGUAGUCCACGCCCUAAACGAUGUCAACUGGUUGUUGGGUCUUCAUUGACUCAGUAACGAAGCUAACGCGUGAAGUUGACCGCCUGGGGAGUACGGCCGCAAGGUUGAAACUCAAAUGAAUUGACGGGG
rnacentral:rRNA from 1 species